rnacentral:misc_RNA from 1 species
GAUGAAGAACGUAGCGAAACGCGAUAAGUAAUGUGAAUUGCAGAAUUUAGUGAAUCAUCGAACUUUUGAACGCACAUUGCGCCCCCUGGUAUUCCGGGGGGCAUGCCUGUCCGAGCGUCAUUGCUGCCCUCAAGCACGGCUUGUGUGUUGGGCCUCCGCCCCCCGGCUCCCGGGGGGCGGGCCCGAAAGGCAGCGGCGGCACCGCGUCCGGUCCUCGAGCGUAUGGGGCUUCGUCACCCGCUCCGUAGGCCCGGCCGGCGCCCGCCGGCGACCCCCCUCAAUCUUUCCAGGUUGACCUCGGAUCAGGUAGGGAUACCCGCUGAACUUAAGCAUAUCAAUAAGCGGAGGA